AUUGAACGCUGGCGGCAGGCCUAACACAUGCAAGUAGAACGAGUGGCGGACGGGUGAGUAAUGUCUGGGAAACUGCCUGCUGGAGGGGGAUAACUACUGGAAACGGUAGCUCAUACCGCAUAGCAUCGGAUGUGCCCAGAUGGGAUUAGGUAGUAGGAGGGGUAAAGGCUCACCUAGGCGACGAUCCCUAGCUGGUCAGAGAGGAUGACCAGCCAAACUGGAACUGAGACACGGUCCAGACUCCUACGGAAGGAAGAAGUGGGGAAUAUUGCACAUGGGGCGCAAUCCUGAUGCAGCCAUGCGGGGUGUAUGAAGAAGGCCUUCGGGUUGUAAAGUACGUUCAGCGGGGAGGCGUUACCCGCAGAAGAAGCACCGGCUAACUCCGUGCCAGCAGCCGCGGUAAUAC
rnacentral:rRNA from 1 species